GAUUUCUGGUCUUGCGAGUUUGGCCCCCGGCUACGGUUGGUGUGUGCCGUUUCUCGCUUACCAUCCUUCUGGGGAGGGUCUCACAUCACUUUAAUGUGUUUGGGUCACGUAACCAGAUCUUUUACUUUGAAAAAAUUAGAGUGUUUAAAGCAGGCUUGCGCUAUGAAUACAUUAGCAUGGAAUAAUAAUUUAGGACUUUGGUCUUAUUUUGUUGGUUUCUAGGACUAAAGUAAUGAUUGAUAGGGACAGUUGGGGGUGCUAGUAUUCAGCGGCCAGAGGUGAAAUUCUUGGAUUCGCUGAAGACUAACUUAUGCGAAAGCAUU
rnacentral:rRNA from 1 species